GGGUGGUAAAUUUCAUCUAAAGCUAAAUAUGGGCCGGAGACCGAUAGCGCACAAGUAGAGUGAUCGAAAGAUGAAAAGCACUUUGGAAAGAGAGUUAAACAGCACGUGAAAUUGUUGAAAGGGAAGCGCUUGCGACCAGACUCGCCCGGGGGGGCUCAGCCGGCACUCGUGCCGGUGCACUCCCCCCCGGGCGGGCCAGCGUCGGUUUGGGCGGCCGGUCAAAGGCCCCCGGAAUGUGUCGCCCUCCGGGGCGUCUUAUAGCCGGGGGUGCAAUGCGGCCAGCCCAGACCGAGGGACGCGCUUCGGCUCGGACGCUGGCGUAAUGGUCGUAAGCGGCCCGUCUUGAAACACGGAC
rnacentral:rRNA from 1 species